rnacentral:rRNA from 1 species
UGCGAGUUUAGGGGCUCCUUCGGGAGCACCGGCGGACUGCUCAGUAACACGUGGACAACCUACCCUCGGGUGGGGGAUAACCUCGGGAAACUGAGGCUAAUACCCCAUAGGCCUCGGAUACUGGAAGGUUCCGAGACCGAAAGCUCCGGCGCCCGAGGAUGGGUCUGCGGCCUAUCAGGUAGUUGGUGGUGUAAAGGACCACCAAGCCUACGACGGGUACGGGCCCUGAGAGGGGGAGCCCGGAGAUGGACUCUGAGACACGAGUCCAGGCCCUACGGGGCGCAGCAGGCGCGAAACCUUCGCAAUGCGCGAAAGCGCGACGAGGGGAGCCCGAGUGCCCUUCCUUUCGGGAGGGCUUUUCUGGAGCCUAAAAAGCUCCAGGAAUAAGGGCUGGGCAAGACGGGUGCCA